rnacentral:rRNA from 1 species
UACGAAGGGGGCUAGCGUUGUUCGGAUUUACUGGGCGUAAAGCGCACGUAGGCGGAUCGAUCAGUCAGGGGUGAAAUCCCAGAGCUCAACUCUGGAACUGCCUUUGAUACUGUCGAUCUGGAGUAUGGAAGAGGUGAGUGGAAUUCCGAGUGUAGAGGUGAAAUUCGUAGAUAUUCGGAGGAACACCAGUAGCGAAGGCGGCUCACUGGUCCAUUACUGACGCUGAGGCGCGAAAGCGUGGGGAGCAAACAGG